ensembl:lncRNA
AUGACCCCUAAUCCUGUGGUUAGUGUGGUGUGUAGCAAUACGGCCAGCAGAGUGAACCGGCAGACAGUCAUCAUGAAGAAGGCCAGAGCUCACGAGGAAGGCCACAGCAUUCAUCUGCUGCCUCCUCCAUGGUUAAUCAAUGCCAUGGACCGCAAGUCGUGGACCUGCCUUAGAGAAUUUGGUCUGUUAGAACAAGCUGGACGAUGCAGAGCAGACAGUGAGGGGGUUGUGGGCAGAGCUCUUGCAUUCAUGUUUCCCACUGUGUGCCUGAUGCGCAGCACUUUGGCAGGCCAUCUGAGCAUCUGGGAUGCAGAGCUGGAAGAAGUUAAAAAAGAG